AUGAUCCAUUAUGCGGGUGUCACUACGUACAACGAGGUUCAAUCAGAUACGUCGGUUGCUGUGGACAACGAGGGAAGCGGCGGUACCGGGCUGACUACUUUUCUAGAAAGGCGGGUGGUAGUUGCCAUAAUGGAGGUCAAACAAUGCAACUUGCACGAGGGUGGCCCGGCGCUGCGGGGGCACGGGAGCACCUCGGCGCUCCGCAGGCGGCUUCGCCCUCGCCCCCAUCCCCGCCCCCGGAGCAGGCUGGGUGGCCGGGCCCGGGGGUGCAGGGGAGGCCCCGGCUGUCCGCCCGGGAGGCGGCCUGAGUCCCCGGCACACCUUCGGGGAGAGCAGCGUCCGCCCCGCACAAGGCCCCGGCAGUGUGCGCUGCGCGCCCGGGGAAGCAAACCCUGCCGUCGGCGCCGCGGGCAUUUUCGCGGCGGGGGCCGGGCGCUAUGCCACCUCCCCGGAGAGGCGAGGCGAGGCAGCGCGGGGCCGGGGGGCGCAGCUCGGCCCGGCUCGGCCCGGCUGCCCGUUCCCCGGCCGCCCCGCGUCCCUCUACAGCCCGGCGGCGCGCUGCGGAAAUCAAURAGCGUUUGUUCCGUGCAGCGCGACCGUCUUUCUGAGCGAUGCCCUGUUAUUAGCGGGGAAGGGGAAAGGCGCGGGGAGGCGGGGGAGAAAUGCUCUCUGCAGGCUCGAUACUGCACGUCCUCGCCUCCGGCAGAGCCGCGUGCAGGUGCCGGGGCGAGGGGCCGCGGGAGCGGGGCUGGCUGGCAGCGCCGCCGGGGGAGAGCUGCACCCCGGGGCGCGGUGCUAAUCACGGCGCAGGUCAGCUCGGCGGGACUCCCGGGCCCCUCGGGGAGUGCGAUUAGUGAAGGCUUAGAGGCAGCGGGGAAAGCCUGCGGGCCGGUCCUCCUUGCGCCACAUUCCUCCAGACCGGGCCGCGCCGCGUCCCGCCGCGGGGAGGCGGCGGGGGUGCCGGGGAGGGGAGGGAUCCCCGCAGCUCGGCGGUGCUUUUCAGCACGGCCCGUCUCCGCACGCCUCGCCUGCGGGUCUCCGCCGGCCCCCGGGAGCCGGCGGCCUUGGGAAACCACGGCAGGUCCGGGGGGGGGGGGCGGCGGGUCACAAGGACGGGCCUGA
rnacentral:lncRNA from 1 species